UCCCCAGUGGUCCAGUGGUUGGGACUCUGCACUACCAAUGCAGGGGGCCCAGGUUCAAUCCCUGGCCAGGGAA